rnacentral:rRNA from 1 species
GACGAACGCUGGCGGCGCGCCUAACACAUGCAAGUCGAACGGAGCUGAGAGGAGCUUGCUUUUCUUAGCUUAGUGGCGAACGGGUGAGUAACGCGUGAGUAACCUGCCCUGGAGUGGGGGACAACAGUUGGAAACGACUGCUAAUACCGCAUAAGCCCACGGUGCCGCAUGGUACUGAGGGAAAAGGAUUUAUUCGCUCUAGGAUGGACUCGCGUCCAAUUAGCUAGUUGGUGAGGUAACGGCCCACCAAGGCGACGAUUGGUAGCCGGACUGAGAGGUUGAACGGCCACAUUGGGACUGAGAAACGGCCCAGACUCCUACGGGAGGCAGCAGUGGGGGAUAUUGCACAAUGGGGGAAACCCUGAUGCAGCGACGCCGCGUGGAGGAAGAAGGUUUUCGGAUUGUAAACUCCUGUCGUUAGGGACGAUAAUGACGGUACCUAACAAGAAAGCACCGGCUAACUACGUGCCAGCCGCCGCGGUAA